GGUAAGGUGUCUGAGAAUUAAGUAGCGGGUUGUAGCUCCGCGGACAGAGGCUAAAUUCCUCUUCUUACCA
rnacentral:tRNA from 1 species